AUUGAACGCUGGCGGCCGGCCUAACACAUGCAAGUCGAACGAGUGGCGGACGGGUGAGUAAUGUCUGGGAAACUGCCUGAUGGAGGGGGAUAACUACUGGAAACGGUAGCUAAUACCGCAUCCCAUCGGCUGUGCCCAGAUGGGAUUAGCUAGUAGGUGGGGUAAAGGCUCACCUAGGCGACGAUCACUAGCUGGUCUGAGAGUAUGACCAGCCACACGGGAACGGAGACACGGUCCAGACUCUUACGGUAGGCAGCAGUGGGGAAUAUUGCACAAUGGGCGCAAGCCUGAUGCAGCCAUGCCGCGUGUAUGAAGAAGGCCUUCGGGUUGUAAAGUACUUUCAGCGGGGAGGCGGUACCCGCAGAAGAAGCACAGGCUAACUCCGUGCCAGCAGCCGCGGUAAUUC
rnacentral:rRNA from 1 species